UCUCAUGGGCCUCACUCCCCAGAGAAGUCAGUGAGGUUGGACAAUGACACAUUUGGGACUCCAUGCUAGUGAGAACCAUGGAAUCCAUGCAGAAGCAUGUGAUAAAACAUCAGCUGCCAGCACCUUCCCUAGACAGGUCCUCCUGCCCCUGAAGAGCAGAAGCACCACCAGGAGUCUGGUGGCUCUACCCCUACAGCCCCUCCCUGAUGCUUUUCUUUCUUCUAUUCUUGGAAAUUUCCUCUGUCUUCGCUGAGUGGUCAGCUCCACGCUGCUGUCAAAACAAGACAUGAUGACAGAUGCUGCCUGAGGCGGAUUGGGAGAGCCAGGGCCAGUACAGCUGAAAGCAGGGUUUAUAUUUUCAUCCAGAAACCUGCAUUAGGGAAAGAGGGAUGCGACUGUCUUCAUCUUUGCACCAUCUUAUCCAUCCUUUUCUGUCUCUGGCUAUUGCAGUGUUGAUUUGAAGAAGGGAAACGGAAAGAUUCCUCAACCAUAAAGUGGACAUGGGAACUACUUUCACAAAGUUGUUGGAAGAAUUAAAUAAAAUGCCUAUUAUUGUUUAAAAAUUA